rnacentral:rRNA from 1 species
AGGUUUGUGACUGAGUGGCGGACGGGUGAGUAACGCGUGGGUAACCUGCCCAUGUGCCCGGGAUAACUUCUGGAAACGGAUGCUAAAACCGGAUAGGUAGCAGACAAGCAUUUGACUGCUAUUAAAGUGGCUAAGGCCAUGAACAUGGAUGGACCUGCGGUGCAUUAGCUAGUUGGUGAGGUAACGGCCCACCAAGGCGACGAUGCAUAGCCGACCUGAGAGGGUGAUCGGCCACACUGGGACUGAGACACGGCCCAGACUCC